rnacentral:lncRNA from 1 species
CUCCUUCUCUUUGCUCAGUAGAGCUGCCACAGCUCUCCGAGCUCAGCAUCCUUUUGUUCUGAAGCACAGCUGAGCUGUAGCACAGAAAGCUGUUCCUGGCAAAGGAUAUUACUUGGUGGAUGUGGUUUCCAACUCGCUCGGUGAUUUAGGACCUCAUCCAAAAAAGCAGUAAAAUCCACAGGAAAGCUCCCAUGAACAAUCUCAGCAAGGCUGAAAAGGAAAAUCUCUCUGGGUGUUGCCAUAACCUCCCAUCCACCAAGGAGCAGCUACGAUUCUACAACUCAAAGGAGCUAUUUAAAAUCUCCCUGUGACAGGAGAGGAUAUCUUCUUGCAUUUUCCAGCUCCAAACUUGUCUGUCACAAAGAGACACCCCAAACAGAAAGAGAAGCCGUCAGCUCUAUCUCGGAGAUCCAUUGGGAAGGAAAGGUCAGAUUAUUUUGGUCCUGUCCCUGUCUGUGUAGUCUCAUACCAGCACGUGCAUGCUUCGAUUUGCAGAUAUCUAAGCUAUGUGUGCAGAGACACACUGGCAGUAGAGAUGUCUGGAAAGCAUUUCUGGGGGCCCUGGAGCAAUGCAUACUCUUCCAAGCUGUCAGCUUCAGUAUGGAUGGAAGCAAAGUUCUGACUCUGGAAAUCAGUGCUUAACCACGUGUAUUUUGCCCUUGUUUAUCCCAGCAUAAAAUGAAGAGUAAUUCUACCUGGAAUCAUGCUGUCAGGACACAAAUGGGUUCCAGUCACUAAAAUAUCCAUCACGGUGCCUUGUCAAUGACAAAUGGGUGGAAAGGAAAAAGUAAAUUAAGCCUCAUGUCCUUUGCAAAAGGGUCAUCACGUUCCUAGCAAAAGGGUCAUCAAAAUGAAGUUGGAGUUAAACUGUUUCCACUGCACUUUCGGGGUCCAGCUGCCUCUCCUUAUACACUGCUUGGUGCUCAAAAAGCCAGCAAGGAUUUCAACAAAUACAGGUUGAAUAUGAUGAGUGAAAAGACGGAUGAACUCAGUGUUUUUCCCACUCUCUGGCUAAAAUGUGUAAAAAAAAAUACUUGGGAGCUGCAAGAUUGCAGUGAGAAGGCGCCUAAAGGUUACAGCACUAGAAAAGCUGAAGCUCUCCCUUUGAAGUAUAGGAUCAUAGAAGAAUCACAGAACCAGGUGAUUCAGGUGAAGGAUGGAUCCAUGGCUGCUGAACACAGUGGUGUGAUGCAGCUCACAGCCACUUACUGUUGGUGGGUUGGUGAGUUGGGACAACACUGGCUGGACCAGGAUGUUCAAUCCAACUUCUGGGAGAGAUACCCUCACACAUCUCAAGUGUCAUGAUGAGGAAACUGAACUCUGCUUCUGAAGCCUGGUUUAAUUGCCUUACCGCAGUUUAAUCUGUGAUUUCUUGUCUAGUUUCCCAUAUUCCCACACCAAACAGUCCUGAUACAGCACUGCUGAAGUUCAUAGAAUCAUAGAAUCCUUGGGUUGGAAAGGACCUCGAAGUUCAUCUACUUUGGGACCCACUGAGGGGCUUUCUCAUAAAAAGAAAAGUUAAAUUUGGAACUCCAUUGUUGUUGCUCCAGCAACACCAGGAUUGGAAACGUGCAUGUCCAGACAAACUAAAUUCAGUGCAGCAUCAGUUUUAACCCUCAGAAAUGAACCCUGAUGGAUUCACAUCAACAUUCUCAUUUACAGUAUUCUGCUACUGAAAGAUGGGGAGAUUCUCUAUAGGAGAGUUUUUUUUCCUCCUGCUAGCUUCUGUUCUGGCCCAGUCUAGGCUCUUCCUCAUGCAUAGAAUGUAAAACUCUGUAUUGGUAGAUGUCUCAAACAAUUGCCAAUACCCUUGGCCUUCUCUACAGUCAACAGAGAUGCAACCAGUAGAGUCAGCAGGAUUUCUGAAAUCUCUCCCUUUAAGUUGAUGUUUAAAAUAGGUCAGACGAAUCACGCCUCAAAAUUGCUUAUUUUUCUUUGAGGGACAUAAACAGAGCUCAGGAUGACCUGCUCAACUGGACACAUCUGCCUAUCAUUCCCUUCAGAGAAGCCAUAUUUUAUCUUUUUUCCCUCCUAAACCUAUUAAUGGUGAGCAUGCUGGAAGAGAUACAGUACUUCAGUCAGUCUUUGAAUUUUGGAAGCAUGCAGGCCCUGAUUGAUUAGUCUCAUGGGACUGGAUGACUCCAUAAGAUUCAAUGGCCCAAAGUCAACCAUGGGCGAUGGCUUAAACAAACCACCCAAGGAGUAUUCAUCCACUCAGAGCCUCCCACAACACCUCUCAGCAUCCAAAGGAAGGGCUGACCCCAUAUCCACCCAACCAGAUUCCUUCUCCCCCUCUUGUCAGUCCAUCCCCAGCACACAUCCAGACCACAUCUGUCCUCCCCAUCCCUCCUGCUCAGAUUCCAUUCCAUUCCAUUGCACUGUGGUAGGUAAGGAGCUUGCAGAAGUUUGCACAGUGGGAUGUGGCUGAGGGGCUUUGAGAAAAUCCUGCUUAUGGUACGAGGUGUGAGCCAGCAACAUCUCCUCCUUACUGCCCAGGCACCAGCAGCCUCCAAGCAGUAGCAUUUGUACAGAAGAAGACAACAUGGGACCCUUCAGAAACCCUCCUCCAAGAGAAGAUACCCAACAGCAAGGAGCACAGAGGCUGCGAAACGAGUACCAGGAGGGCUCUCUCCCCUGCUGCAUGGGUUUGGGCAGAGAGAGGUUGCUUGCUGCCCUCUCUUGGUUUCAGGUGGCUUUCACCUAUCCCAGGGAAAAUCUCAGCCCCCAGUUUGUGCAACGCCUUGCAGAAGAGAUUCAACAGGAAAAUGGGACCUCAGGAACUCAGGAAAGCAGCUGUUGCUCUCCCACACUUUCUGAAGACCUCAGAGCCAAUCUCGAUGCAGUACAUAGGUAGAGAAGAUCUGGGGAGUAACCAGCCAGACUUAGAAUCAUAGAAUCAUUAAGGCAGGAAAAGACCUCUAAAACCACCACAUCCAACCCCAACCCACCCCCACCAUGCCCACUGACCACUGUCACUCAGUGCCACAUCUCUGUGGUUCUUGAUCCCCUCCGGAGAUGGUGACUCCACCACUUCCCUGGCACGGAUAUGGGAUUUUCUUCUUCUAAACCAGACCUGGAGAACUGAUGUUCGAGCUGUGGUUUCUGCAUGGGGUCACCUGGUUUCUUUCACUGGGCUACAAUGCAAAGCAUGGUUGGAAAAUUCUCUUGGCGUGGCUGUAGGAGCAGUGAGCAGCGAGACCAGCCUGUGCUGCAGUAACUUCUGCAGCCCUCCCAGGCCCCUUUCAAAGAGGCUUGGGGGGUAUUUUCCAGAGAGUCCCAAAUUUGUCCAAAAUGGGAAAACUCUGACGGACUGGCUUUAAUUUGUUCAUUAAAAGCAGUGUGGGAAACUAUGAAAAUGUCAGAAUAUCUCAUUUCUAAAUGAUGAAGCUGAGGAUGGAAUAUUUGCUUACAAAAUUUUUAAAACCAG